rnacentral:rRNA from 1 species
CGUCUGUCAUUUUUAUCUUUCCACUCAUGUGCAUUCUGCAUAGGCCUGAAACAUUUUACUAAAGCAAUGCUUUGAUUUUUGGAAACUGCUGUUGUAUAUCACACAGCUUUUUCUGUAUUUCGGGUUCUGUGAAAUUUUAUUUAUACUCCUGUGUAUGUUAAUGAACGUUACAAAGGCUGUAAAGCCUAUAAAUUUAUAAUACAACUUUCAGCAACGGAUCUCUUGGCUCUCGCAUCGAUGAAGAACGCAGCGAAAUGCGAUAAGUAAUGUGAAUUGCAGAAUUCAGUGAAUCAUCGAAUCUUUGAACGCACCUUGCGCCCCUUGGUAUUCCGAGGAGCAUGCCUGUUUGAGUGUCAUUAAAUUCUCAAUCUCUAGUAUUGUUACUUGCUUGAUUGGAUGUGGGGGGAUCUUGUAGGAUUUUUAUAAGUCUACUCCCCUGAAAUAUAUUAGCUGGAAUGCCUUUGCAGAUCAACUAUCAGUGUGAUAAUUAUCAAUACUGUGGGUUGUUGCAUGAGGGGAAUCCGCUUCUUUUAACUGUCAUAAGACAAUAUGAAUAACUUUGACCUCAAAUCAGGUAGGACUACCC